GAGGACCGUAUUCAUGGAAGAGGAUCGAACAGACUACUGAGUUCUUAUGAGAAGAAUGGCUCUUAAGAAAUUGAAGGUGAUACCAAAGGAAGGUUACUUAUUACUUUUGGACUUUGAUGAUGAGGACUAUGACAUAAAAGUUUCAGAGGAGGCUCUUUCGGAAGUAAAGAGCCCAGCAUUUGAUAAAAAUGAGAAUAUAUCGCCUCAAGCAGAAGCAGAUGAAGAUAUGGGAUACAGUAGACAGUAUAUUGGAUAAAUCUGAAGUAAAUAAUCCAGCAAUUGGUAAAGAUGAAAAUAUAUCGCCUCAAGUAAAAGGAGAUGAAGACAUGGGACAUGAAGUAGGCAGUAUGUUGGAUAAAUCUGGAGAUGACAUUUAUAAGACGCUUCACAUAAAGAGAAAAUGGAUGGAAACUUAUGUCAAAGAAUCUUUCAAAGGCAGCAACCAGAAAUUAGAAAGAUUUUGCAAAACGAACGAACGAGAGAGGAAGAACAUCAACAACAAAUUUUGUGAGCAGUAUAUAACUACAUUUCAGAAGUCUGAUAUGGAUGUACAGAAAUUCAAUGAAGAAAAAGAAAAAUCAGUGAAUAGUUGUCAAAAAGAACAACAAGCAUUGAAACUGUCCAAAUGUAGUCAGAACCAGACCCUGGAAGCAGUUAAAGAAAUGCAUGAGAAGUCCAUGGAGCUGCAUCAUUGGACAUAAACUGAAUUUUCCAUGUGUUGCCACUGAUGUGAGCCAUU